CCAGGUCAUCUGAGUUGGGAAGGCAGGAUGGUGAGGAAGAUUUGUCUCUCUUUGUCUGCUCUGACCCUCCUGGAUUCAGUCUGGAUCGUCUCAACUAGGUACCACGUUCUGUGUUAGGCACUGGGGAUGCCAAGAUGAAUCAAGUCCUGUCCUAACAGAGUCCACACCGUCCAGGUCUCUGCUGACCAGAAACAAGUCAGAGGGGAGUUUAUGUGGUAAACUUC